rnacentral:rRNA from 1 species
UACGUAGGGGGCAAGCGUUGUCCGGAAUCAUUGGGCGUAAAGCGCGUGUAGGCGGCCCAGUAAGUCCGCUCUGAAAGCCCGGGGGCUCAACCCCGGGAGGCGGGUGGAUACUGCUGGGCUCGAGUCCGGAAGAGGCGAGUGGAAUUCCUGGUGUAGCGGUGAAAUGCGCAGAUAUCAGGAGGAACACCGAUUGCGAAGGCAGCUCGCUGGGACGGUACUGACGCUGAGACGCGAAAGCGUGGGGAGCAAACAGG